rnacentral:misc_RNA from 1 species
AAGUCGUAACAAGGUUUCCGUAGGUGAACCUGCGGAAGGAUCAUUAACACGUAUCCAAACGUUAAACCCCCUGUGAACCUUCAGUGUACUCGUACGUCCGUUAGAAAAAGCAGCAAUCCCUGGUAAAUCAUCGCCGAACAGUUUUCGAUUCAGGGACGUCUGCAAGGAGCGUGCAUGUUGUGCCAAGCAGUGUGUAAGGAUGACGCAGUCACGAUCGUUGGAGGCCCACACGGCCGACGACCGGGUCACUGGGCGCAAGCCCCCCUAUAACAAACGCUGCCAAUCGCGGCCGCGAUAAUACGCAGUCGACAAAAAACCGAACAACUGUUAACAAUGGAUAUCUUGGUUCUC